rnacentral:tRNA from 1 species
GUGGCUAUAGCUCAGCUUGGUAGCGCAACUGGUUUGGGACCAGUGGGUCGGAGGUUCGAAUCCCAUUAGCCACCCCA